rnacentral:sRNA from 1 species
GUGUCCUUGAGAGCACUAGUAGCUGGGC